UGCAGUCGAGCGGAAAGGCCCUUCGGGGUACUCGAGCGGCGAACGGGUGAGUAACACGUGAGCAACCUGCCCUAGGCUUUGGGAUAACCCUCGGAAACGGGGGCUAAUACCGAAUAUUACUUGACCUCGCAUGGGGUUGGGUGGAAAGUUUUUCGGCCUGGGAUGGGCUCGCGGCCUAUCAGCUUGUUGGUGGGGUGAUGGCCUACCAAGGCGACGACGGGUAGCCGGCCUGAGAGGGCGACCGGCCACACUGGGACUGAGACACGGCCCAGACUCCUACGGGAGGCAGCAGUGGGGAAUAUUGCACAAUGGGCGGAAGCCUGAUGCAGCGACGCCGCGUGAGGGAUGACGGCCUUCGGGUUGUAAACCUCUUUCAGCAGGGACGAAGCGUAAGUGACGGUACCUGCAGAAGAAGCACCGGCCAACUACGUGCCAGCAGCCGCGGUAAGACGUAGGGUGCGAGCGUUGUCCGGAUUUAUUGGGCGUAAAGAGCUCGUAGGCGGCUUGUCGCGUCGACCGUGAAAACUUGGGGCUCAACCCCAAGCCUGCGGUCGAUACGGGCAGGCUAGAGUUCGGUAGGGGAGACUGGAAUUCCUGGUGUAGCGGUGAAAUGCGCAGAUAUCAGGAGGAACACCGGUGGCGAAGGCGGGUCUCUGGGCCGAUACUGACGCUGAGGAGCGAAAGCGUGGGGAGCGAACAGGAUUAGAUACCCUGGUAGUCCACGCUGUAAACGUUGGGCGCUAGGUGUGGGGGGCCUCUCCGGUUUCCUGUGCCGCAGCUAACGCAUUAAGCGCCCCGCCUGGGGAGUACGGCCGCAAGGCUAAUACUCAAAGGAAUUGACGGGGGCCCGCACAAGCGGCGGAGCAUGCGGAUUAAUUCGAUGCAACGCGAAGAACCUUACCUGGGUUUGACAUGGCCGCAAAACUUGCAGAGAUGUAAGGUCCUUCGGGGGCGGUCACAGGUGGUGCAUGGCUGUCGCCAGCUCGUGUCCUGAGAU
rnacentral:rRNA from 1 species